ACAACAAAAACAACAACAAAUCAUAGUUACCAGUCUUGCAUUGUUCCGUUAAAUCAUCAUCAUCUUCAUCAUCAUUUAUUUAUAUAGCGCCGACAAGAUAUGCAAUGCUUAGUUAAAUCUUAUCUUAUACAGAUAUUUCAGCUUUUAUUAGCCUUUUGGCUGUAGUAGCCUAAACAUUCUCUUCCACCUUCCCAUGUCUUUGGCAAAUUCUGAUACUGUUGGACAUCAAAUGACCAUAAGUGUUCACUUUAGCUCAUAUAAUGUAUUAAAUCCCCCUUUUAUUUCAUCAGGUAAAAGAUUGUGUUUGUCUGAACUGCUGCUAGCAACAGAGCUGGGCCAGGCCGCCAAGGUGCCCUAGGUAACCUGGCCAGUCACAGCGACGACUGGGAGUGCGUGCAUGCACAAAUUAACACACUGGCGGACAGUCAGGCAGAGAGGGGACGCCCGACUAGGAGUAGGAGGCAGUGAAAAUAACACCACCUUUACUUAUGUUCUUCUACUCUUGACUGAAUCUUUUUGACUGGCACAUUGGCCAUGCUUGUUUAAACUCUACCAGACAGAACCAACAGCUGAAUUCUCACUUGCUGUACAAUGGCUACACAUGAGAACUAUGAGUGGUGAGGUACACAGACAAAAGCAUUCAUUACACCAACUUGCUAUGCACUUUCAUCACCACUGCACUGACUAAAGUGACAUUUUGGACUGAUGCUUUAAGAGACUAUUUCAUCAUGGGCUAGGGCUAGUCCUUAGUGGUGCUGGAUCAUCUGGACAUUGAAUGGACUAUGCAUCUCCUCUGGAUUUUUCCAUCUUUAUCCUUGAAAUUCCUGUAUACACAUGCAUAUUACUGUGUGGUUGAGUCCACAGUGAUUGUUGCAUUUUGUAUUUGUCUGGUAGAGCCAAUUUUUUGUCCCAUUUUUAUAUAUAUUUUUUGUUUUCAGCCUGAAGUGCUAGCUUAAGGAUUGUGCCUAUAUUAGAAGAAAAAAAGUGGGAGAAUGUAGAUAUCAGGGUUUUAGAUGUAAGGCAUAUAAGUGUUUAUUGUCAAAAAAACAAAAAUUAUAGAACAGGACAGAAUUGCUAUGUUGUAGAAGAAGCUCAAGGUUAAAGGCCAUUCUGUUGUAGAAUGUUUACACAGAACAAGGUAUACAUCUGUUGUCUCAUGAUACAAGUACUCCUAGUGCAAGGCCCAGAAAGGCACAUAUAGUUAGAUUUUCGAUCAUUCAAAUCCCACUAAUCGCACGAUAAUUUUGAAGGAUUGGUUGGACUUUGCUAAAAUCGGUCAUUCGGCAAGAUAAAUCUUUGCAUCUAUGGGACCAUAAGAAAUGCCUACUUACAAGGUUGUACUUACUUUUUUAGGCAAAGGUGUUAUUUAUGUGUUGAAACAGUGAUUGAAAGGUCAAUUUAUCUUACCUUUACCAUUAUAUUACCUUUAUCUGUACAUACUAUUGGAAUGUAGAUCAAAUACUGUCUCAUAUAUCCACAUGUACCUUGAGAUAAGACAUAUUCACAUGUACCUUGAGAUAAAGUGACUUCAUUAUA